rnacentral:lncRNA from 1 species
UUUCUUCAAUGAUAUGAAAAUAAAAUAAAAUAAAAAACAAUACAAGAAUGGGUCAUGUUUUAAAGAUAUUUAAAUAGCUUUGAAUGCAAUUUUAUCAUUCAAAGUAAGUCAUGUUGGCAAUGAAAACAAGUAAAAAAAGAAUAAGCAAAGAAUACUCAAACAUCGAACUUUAUGAGAGAUGAUUUAGAAUCAAUUGCUUGGACUAAGAGUAUAGAAAUGAGAGGGGCAGUUGUGCUACAUGGACGCAGACAAAACACAUUGAUUGCCUAUCGUUAUUGUUUUAAUUCAGAGUAGAUAACAAAUAAAUCAUUUCUUAUAGUUCCAUAAG